rnacentral:tRNA from 1 species
GGUGAUGAAGCUCAGUUGGUAGAGCAAAGGACUGAAAAUCCUUGUGUCGGCAGUUCGAUUCUGUCCAUCACCA